UUUCCGUAGGUGAACCUGCGGGAGGCUCAUUACUCAGUGAGGGCCCUCUGGGUCCAACCUCCCACCCGUGCUUAUUGUACCUUGUUGCUUCUGUGCGCCCGACUAACGGCCGCCGGGGGGCUCAUGCUCACGGGUCCGCGCGCAUCGGAGACAUCAUUGAACUCUGUCUGAUGAUUGCAGUCUGAGCAUAACCCAAAUAAGCUAAAACUUCUAACAACGGAUCGCUUGGUACCGGCAUCGAUGAAGAACGCAGUAGAUCGGAAGAGUAAACGCUCGAAA
rnacentral:misc_RNA from 1 species